CAGUCGCCGCGGGAAUACGUAGGUGGCAAGCGUUGUCCGGAAUUAUUGGGCGUAAAGGGCUCGCAGGCGGCUUCUUAAGUCUGAUGUGAAAGCCCCCGGCUCAACCGGGGAGGGUCAUUGGAAACUGGGAAACUUGAGUGCAGAAGAGGAGAGUGGAAUUCCACGUGUAGCGGUGAAAUGCGUAGAGAUGUGGAGGAACACCAGUGGCGAAGGCGACUCUCUGGUCUGUAACUGACGCUGAGGAGCGAAAGCGUGGGGAGCGAACAGGAUUAGAUACCCCCGUAGUCCCUGUCUCUUAUAA
rnacentral:rRNA from 1 species